rnacentral:rRNA from 1 species
AACGAACGCUGGCGGCAUGCCUAACACAUGCAAGUCGAACGAGAGCUUCGGGUCUGGUGUCGCACGGGUGCGUAACGCGUGGGAACCUGCCCUUAGGUUCGGACUAACUCCCCGAAAGGGGUGCUAAUACCGGAUAAUAUCUUCGGACCAAAGAUUUGUCGCCUUUGGAUGGGCCCGCGUUGGAUUAGCUAGUUAGUAGGGUAAAAGCCUACCAAGGCGACGAUACAUAGCUGGUCUGAGAGGAUGAUCAGACACACUGGGACUGAGACACGGCCCGGACUUCUACGGGAGGCAGCAGUGGGGGAUCUUGGACAGUGGGCGGAAGGAUGAUCCAGCACUGCCGCGUGAGUGAUGAAGGCGUUAGGGUUGUAAAGCUCUUUUAUCCGGGAUGAUAAUGACAGUACCGGGAGAAUAAGCUCCGGCUAACUCCGUG